rnacentral:pre_miRNA from 1 species
CAAAUACUCUCUCCGUCCGGAAAUACUUGUCAUCAAAAUGGAUAAAAGGAUAUGUAUCUAGACGUAUUUUAGUUUUAGAUACAUCUCUUUUUAUCCAUUUUGAUGACAAGUAUUUUCGGACGGAGGGAGUAGAAA